CCUACGGGUGGCUGCAGUGGGGAAUAUUGCACAAUGGGCGCAAGCCUGAUGCAGCCAUGCCGCGUGCGUGAAGAAGGCCUUCGGGUUGUAAAGCACUUUCAGCGGGGAGGAAGGCGUUAAGGUUAAUAACCUUGUCGAUUGACGUUACCCGCAGAAGAAGCACCGGCUAACUCCGUGCCAGCAGCCGCGGUAAUACGGAGGGUGCAAGCGUUAAUCGGAAUUACUGGGCGUAAAGCGCACGCAGGCGGUCUGUCAAGUCGGAUGUGAAAUCCCCGGGCUCAACCUGGGAACUGCAUUCGAAACUGGCAGGCUAGAGUCUUGUAGAGGGGGGUAGAAUUCCAGGUGUAGCGGUGAAAUGCGUAGAGAUCUGGAGGAAUACCGGUGGCGAAGGCGGCCCCCGGGACAAAGACUGACGCGCAGGUGCGAAAGCGUGGGGAGCAAACAGGAUUAAUACCCUUGUAGUC
rnacentral:rRNA from 1 species